AGGCAGCAGUGGAGAAUUUUGCGCAAUGGGGAAACCCUGACGCAGCAACGCCGCGUGAGUGAUGAAGGCCUUCGGGUCGUAAAGCCCUGUCGGGAGGGAAGAAAAGCCCGCCGGCUAAUAUCCGGCGGGCCUUUGACGGUACCCUCAAAGGAAGCACCGGCUAACUCCGUGCCAGCAGCCGCGGUA
rnacentral:rRNA from 1 species